rnacentral:misc_RNA from 1 species
GCUCCGUAGGUGAACCUGCGGAGGGAUCAUUACAGAGUUCAUGCCCUACCGGGUAGAUCUCCCACCCUAUGUUAUUAUUACUUUGUUGCUUUGGCGGGCCGUUAGGCUCCGGCCCGACUACCGGCCCCGGCUGGUAAGCGCCCGCCAGAGGACCCAAAACCCUGAAUAUUAGUGUCGUCUGAGUACUAUAUAAUAGUUAAAACUUUCGACAACGGAUCUCUUGGUUCUG